CGCAAUGGGCGAAAGCCUGACGGAGCAAUACCGCGUGGAGGAGGAAGGCCCGUGGGUCGUAAACUCCUUUUCUCAGAGAAGAACACAAUGACGGUAUCUGAGGAAUAAGCAUCGGCUAACUCCGUGCCAGCAGCCGCGGUAAUACGGAGGAUGCAAGCGUUAUCCGGACUGAUUGGGUGUAAAGCAUCUGUAGGCGGUUUUGGAAGUCUACGGUUAAAUCCCAGAGCUUAACUUUGGUUCAGCCGUAGAGUACUUCAAAGCUUGAGUAUGGUAGGGGUAGAGGGAACUUCUCGUGGAGCGGUGAAAUGCACAGAGAUGAGAAUUAACACCAGUGGCGAAAGCGCUAUACUGGGCCAUGACUGACGCUGAGAGAUGACAGAGA
rnacentral:rRNA from 1 species